GAUGAACGCUGGCGGCGUGCCUAAUACAUGCAAGUCGAGCGAACAGAUGAGAAGCUUGCUUCUCUGAUGUUAGCGGCGGACGGGUGAGUAACACGUGGGUAACCUACCUAUAAGACUGGGAUAACUCCGGGAAACCGGGGCUAAUACCGGAUAAUAUUUUGAACCGCAUGGUUCAAUAGUGAAAGACGGUUUCGGCUGUCACUUAUAGAUGUACCGGAGCCGUAUUAGCUAGUUGGUAAGGUAACGGCUUACCAAGGCGACGAUACGUAGCCGACCUGAGAGGGUGAUCGGCCACACUGGAACUGAGACACGGUCCAGACUCCUACGGGAGGCAGCAGUAGGGAAUCUUCCGCAAUGGGCGAAAGCCUGACGGAGCAACGCCGCGUGAGUGAUGAAGGUCUUCGGAUCGUAAAACUCUGUUGUUAGGGAAGAACAAAUUUGUUAGUAACUGAACAAGUCUUGACGGUACCUAACCAGAAAGCCACGGCUAACUACGUGCCAGCAGCCGCAGUAA
rnacentral:rRNA from 1 species